rnacentral:rRNA from 1 species
CCUACGGGUGGCAGCAGUCGAGAAUCAUUCACAAUGGGGGCAACCCUGAUGGUGCGACGCCGCGUGGAUGAAUGAAGGUCUUCGGAUGUUAAGCCCCUGUCAUGUGGGAGCAAAUUGAAACGAUAGUACCCCAAUAGGCAGAGACUACUAACUCGGUGUCAGCAGCCCCGGUAAUACAGAGGUCUCACGCGUUGUUCGGAAUCACUGGGCGUAAAGCGUGCGUAGGCUGUUUCUUAAGUCGUGUGUGAAAGGCGCGGGCUCAACCCGCGGACGGCACAUGAUACUGGGAGACUAGAGUAAUGGAGGGGGAACUGGAAUUCCAGGUGUAGCAGUGAAAUGCGUAGAUAUCGAGAGGAACACUCGUGGCGAAGGCGGGUGCCUGGACAGUAACUGACGCUGAGGUACGAAGGCCAGGGGAGCGAAAGGGAUUAGAUACCCCAGUAGUC